AACGCACAUUGCGCCCGCCAGUAUUCUGGCGGGCAUGCCUGUCCGAGCGUCAUUUCAACCCUCAUGCCCCCAGUGCAUGGCGUUGGGGAUCGGCGUGGCGUCCUCCGGGACGCUGCCGGCCCCGAAAUUCAGUGGCGGUCUCGCUGUAGCCCUCCUCCGCGUAGUAGCACAACCUCGCGGCCUGGAGCUCGGCGGUGGCCAUGCCGUAAAACACCCCACUUCUGAAAGUUGACCUCGGAUCAGGUAGGAAUACCCGCUGAACUUAA
rnacentral:misc_RNA from 1 species